AUUCCAGCUCCAAUAGCGUAUAUUAAAGUUGUUGCAGUUAAAAAGCUCGUAGUUGGAUUUGUGGCCGGUGUAUUGUUGUUGGUGACUUUGUUGCUUGACGACGUGUGCUGGCCAUCCUUGGGUGUAGCCUGUGUGGCAUUAAGUUGUCGUGCGGGUGUUGCCCAUCGUUUACUGUGAAAAAAUUAGAGUGUUCAAAGCAGGCUUAUGCCUUCUGAAUAUAUUAGCAUGGAAUAAUAGGAUAGGACCUUGGUACUAUUUUGUUGGUUUGCGCGCCUUGGUAAUGAUUAAGAGGGACAGUUGGGGGUAUUCGUAUUCAAUUGUCAGAGGUGAAAUUCUUGGAUUUCUGGAAGACGAACUACUGCGAAAGCAUUUACCAAGGAUGUUUUCAUUAAUCAAGAACGAAAGUUAGGGGAUCGAAGAUGAUUAGAUACCAUCGUAGUCGUCA
rnacentral:rRNA from 1 species